GAAAUGUGACAUAGUAUGAAAUCUCGAUCGAUUGUUCAAACAUUCGGCUCACUUGUACAUACUCGAACAUUCGAAACUAUCAAAGACAAGUUAAACACACGAUGAACAAGAAGAAAGUGAAAAAAGAUUCAAUAAAGAAGAAAUCGGACGAAACUUUUCAACAGAUCGAAUCUGUCUCUUCUAGUUGUGCCACUGAAAAUGAUUUAACCGAUGAUUUUGAAACGCACGAAUUUCGAAAUGAUGAAACGAAAGAAUCUAUUGAAACGAAAGAAUCUGUUGAAACGAAAGAAUCUGUUGAAACGAAAGAAUCUGUUGAAACGAAAGAAUCUGUUGAAACGAAUACGAAAUCUCAAUUAAGAAGAAUUAUAAAACGUAGAAAUAAAAUAUAUAACAGAGUGCAAAAAAAAAUGAAUGUGAUAAAAAAUAUAACGUUAUAUAGCGAUUAUUUGGAAGAAAAAACAACAGUCUUGGAAAAAUGUUCUAUCAAGCACGAAGAUCUUUGUAUAUUGACAAUUGAUUUAUUAAAUGAACUUUUAUUGUUAGCCAAAAAAAUUAGUCCGGACUUAUUAUUUUUUAUAAUCAAAUACAUCAUGAAAAUAAAGAAUAUAUCGAAAGAAGACUGCAAUAUAUCCAUGGGUAGUGAUUUCAUUCCCCUAUCUCCCACAAAGGGAUUACAGGAAGGACACCUGACAGGGAUGGAGCAGCCAAACAUUUGCAAACAAAUUUUGAAGAGACCUGCUGAAUCGGAAUUUGAAGGUGCAUCUAGUCCAAAGAAGCGUCACAAGAAUCCACAGCCCAAGAAUGCAGUAUGUGCUCUAAAUGAAUUAAAAAGUGGUGCAGUGUAUAAAGUUGUUGAUCAAACUGGCCCCACACAUGCUCCAAUAUUUACAAUAGCGGUACAAAUUGAUGGUCAAACUUAUGAAGGCAAAGGACGUACUAAGAAAAUGGCAAAACAUGCUGCUGCUGAACUUGCAUUAAGAAAUAUUGUUCAGUUUAGAAAUACACCAGAAGUUCAUCAAGCUAUUAACACUUGUCAACCUUCUAUUCCCCUUGAACCAGAUUUUACGAGUGAUGUCACGGAACGCGAUAAUCAUCUAGUCAAUGCUUUUAAAACUUUAACUCAAGAACCAAAAAAUACAAAUAAAUUUUUAGAAAAAGGUCCUGUAGCGCUUAUUAAUGAAUUAUAUCCUGGUGUAGUAUAUAAAUGUGUUUCUGACAACGGUGAAAGCUAUGCAAAAUUUACAAUAUCGGUAACAAUCGAUGGAGAAACAUUCGAGGGAACUGGACCAAGUAAAAAAUUAGCAAAAGCUGCGGCUAGUAAAGCAGCGUUAGCUAAAUUAAGGAACGUUCACAGUUCCUCGUUCUGCAUACCGCUUCCGGUUCGCGUUUUGCCAAAUUUUCCCAGUAGUGGCCAUUGGCAAGAUCAGAUGUCUUUACCUCAAAUGUUAGCUGAUAAAAUUGGGAAAAUGGUGAAUCAAAAAUUUAGCGAAUUAAUUCAAUCAAAACCGCAACAUGCUCGUCGCAAAGUUUUAGCUGGCAUUGUUCAAACUAAAGGUUCAGAUGCGGAACUGAUAUGUGUAACAACUGGUACAAAAUGUGUCUCGGGGGAACAUCUGAGUGUCAGCGGUGGUGCACUGAACGAUUGUCAUGCCGAAGUGGUAGCGAGAAGAUGUUUAUGCGAAUAUUUGUAUAAACAAUUGGAACUUCAUACGGAGGACCGGGCUGCGGAAUCUAUUUUAGAACCGGCAAAGAAAGGAUUUAAAUUAAAACAAGGCAUUCAAUUUCAUUUGUAUAUAAAUACCGCACCAUGUGGUGAUGCAAGAAUCUUUUCACCUCACGAAGAGAAUGAAUCCGUCGACAAACAUCCAAAUCGAAGAGCAAGAGGUCAAUUGCGAACUAAAAUAGAAUCCGGAGAAGGUACCAUUCCCGUAAAAAGCAGCGAGGGUAUCCAAACGUGGGACGGUGUGCUUAUGGGCCAAAGACUGCUGACGAUGUCGUGUUCGGACAAAAUAGCUCGCUGGAACGUACUUGGCGUGCAAGGUGCACUCUUGAGCUACUUCAUCGAGCCAAUUUACUUCCACAGCAUCGUUCUUGGCAGUCUAUUGAACCCAAGCCAUAUGUAUAGGGCGGUCUGCGGACGUAUUGAAAAUACGAUCCAAGGAUUACCGCCUCCAUACAGACUCAAUAAACCACUCAUGAGUCUUAUUACUUCGUCAGAGGUGAGACAGCCUGGAAAAGCACCUAAUUACAGCGUUAAUUGGACAAUCGGUCAACUAGAAGCUGAAGUAAUAAAUUGUACUACUGGAAAAGACGAGUUAGGAAAACCUUCUAGAAUAUCAAAACAAGGACUGUUCAGAAGAUUUUACAACUUAUUAGGUAAACUUAAUACUAUUGAAGAUGCUGAUAAAAAUCAGUGUCGUCAUUAUUUAGAUGCAAAAUCUUCCGUACAAAAUUACUCGCUUGCCAAGCAUCAGUUGAAGGAAGCUUUCGUAAAGGCACAUCUAGGCAGUUGGGUUAAGAAACCAAUCGAACAAGAUAUGUUUGAAGUUGAUAUCUGACUAAAUCAGGGAUACAACACGCAACGAGCAACGUUCAGCCUAGAAAACGGAAAACAACGUUGGUGAACGAGAGAAGAGUCAAAAUUGCUUAAUAUUCACACGCGUCGAGAAACGAAGAUAAUAAGUAUUUACAAUAUAACUAUAAUCUAGAUAUUCUCGUGGCGAUUUGCCCGAGAAUAUUAGAUUAGCGCAUUAACAAUGAUCAGAUUCGCAACGAAACCGAGAGAAGCCGAGUAAUAGAUUUGCACGUCAAGAUACACGAUUAACAAUUACAUCGAGCUGCUUGCAUUCGAGGAGGACACGCACUUCGAAGCUGGUCCUUCGUUCGUUGGUUCUCCAGAGAACGAGCCGAUUACCGACCAACGUUCCACGAUCAUCCUGAUCACCUCAAGUGGGAUCGAGCAUCCCGGACUGUUACCACUCGUAGUCGUCCUGGUGGAAGGGGUUGGUGCAUGGUUGUUGAGCGUGUAGAUGGGUCACUAUCGGCGGUGGUUUAAACA
rnacentral:misc_RNA from 1 species